rnacentral:tRNA from 1 species
GAGGCCGUAGCGCAGAGGUUGUCGCGCCGAGCUGCUUGCACGGAGGACGCUGGUUCGAAUCCGGCCGGCCCCC